rnacentral:lncRNA from 1 species
AGUAGCACCGGAAUCCGCUAGGAAAAGUGAACUAGGUCCCCUUCACGCGUUCUCCGCUCGCUCUGACGCGCAGGAAAUUUACGUCAUCAAAGCUCGGCGGGUUAGGAAAGCCAAGGCUGAGGGAGGUCGCUAGUGCGCAAGCUCAAAGCUGUGUUGGCGUUAGGCGGCUGGCUGGGUAGGAGAGGCAAGUGCGUUUAAGGAGGCGGGUUUCUGAACGUGAAGAUCUAGUUUUUUGUUUUUGUUUUUGUUUUAUCAUAAAGUGUAGGGAAGAAAAGGAUCCCAAAACAAGUAUCAGUGAUAGAAAUCACUAUCAGUAUAGGGUUUUCGCAUUUCACCGUAUCUUCAGUUCUAGCGGGGUAGGUUAGACAGGUAUUAUUGUUAUUUUAUACAGAUGAGGAAGUUGAGGUUUAGCCAGAAAGCUGCAGAGGCAGAGUUUGUAGCAUUUUCAAUGGAGAAACCCUGGAAUGAACGGGCGAAGUAGAGAGGAGGGAGGAGAAGAAACUUGAGACGGUGAGGUAGGGUAUUAUUGCGGGCUGAAGGUGAAAUCUUGUAGACUUGAGAAGUUGACAAGAAUUGAAAAAUAUUAGCACUUCGUAACUAACGGUGUUAUAAUACCACAAGCUGAAGCAAAAUUUGUUGUUUAUUUUUUCAGCCUUCCCGGUUAUUUUAAGCCGAUAAACUUAUUUUUAUGGGCGUGGAGGAACCGGAUGCUCGCGCCGCCAACCACUGGGGUUUUUUAGAGAGGCAGUAUCAAGAAGUAGUUAAAAGCAGGAACUCCAAACUAUCCGGGUUCGAAUUCUGACUCUGCCCUUGACUAGUUCUGUGACCCUGGCCAAGUUAGCUUAUGUGCUUCACUUUACUCAUCUGCAAAGUAGGAGUGAUAAACCUAUUUAUCAUGAGGGAUGAAAACGAGUUAAUACAUGUGAAACGCUUAAAACAGUGUCUGGAAUCAUUUUGUCCUUCCCUUGUCUUGGAGAAACUGCUCCCAUCCUGCAGGUACCCCCAACAGGUAAACACUCACUCAUUUGAAGCUUUGGCCUUGAAGAUUUCAAAGGAAGGAGCUGAGAUAUGCUUUUUCCUCGAUUUAUGUCGUCUGGAGUUCUGGAGUGGAGCUGUUGCCCUGGGUUGGUGCGCUGAAGACCACCAUUGCAGUCACAGCUGGUAA